UACAGAGGUCCCAAGCGUUGUUCGGAUUCAUUGGGCGUAAAGGGUGCGUAGGCGGCGGGGUAAGUCAGGUGUGAAAUCCCGGAGCUCAACUCCGGAACUGCACUUGAUACUACCUUGCUAGAGUACUGGAGGGGAGACUGGAAUUUACGGUGUAGCAGUGAAAUGCGUAGAUAUCGUAAGGAAGACCAGUGGCGAAGGCGAGUCUCUGGACAGUUACUGACGCUGAGGCACGAAGGCCAGGGGAGCAAACGGG
rnacentral:rRNA from 1 species